rnacentral:rRNA from 1 species
AAUGGCUGCAGUAAUUUGACUGUACAAAGGUAGCAUAAUCAUUAGUUUUUUAAUUAAAAGCUUGUAUGAAAGGUUGGACGAAAUAAAAUCUGUCUCUUUUUAAUAAAAUUAGAAUUUAAUUUUUAAGUUAAAAAGCUUAAAUUUUUAUAAAAGACGAGAAGACCCUAUAGAGUUUAAUAAUUUAAAUUUAAUAAUUAAUUUAGAUUUAUUAAUUUUAUUUUAUUUAAAUUAUUUUAUUGGGGUAAUGGAAAGAUUUAAAAAAUUCUUUUUUAAUUAAAUCAUUAAUAUAUGAAAUUUAUGAUCCAAAAAUUUUGAAUAUAAGAUUAAAUUACCUUAGGGAUAACAGCGUAAUUUUUUUUUAGAGUUCUUAUCGAUAAAAAAGUUUGCGACCUCGAUGUUGGAUUAAAGAUUAAUUUAGGUGCAGAAGUUUAAAUAUUUGGUCUGUUCGACCAUUAAAUCUUUACAUGAUCUGAGUUCAAACCGGUGUAAGCCAGGUUGGUUUCUAUCUUUAUAAUAUUUUUAUAUUUUAGUACGAAAGGACCAAAUAUAAUAUAUAUAAAUAUUUAUUUUUAUGAAUAU